GCGGGUGUAGCAUAACGGUUAGUGCACUUGCUUCCCAAGCAAGAGACGAGGGUUCAACUCCCUUUACCCGCU
rnacentral:tRNA from 1 species